GGUUAAGCGACUAAGCGUACACGGUGGAUGCCCUGGCAGUCAGAGGCGAUGAAGGACGUGCUAAUCUGCGAUAAGCGCCGGUAAGGUGAUAUGAACCGUUAUAACCGGCGAUUUCCGAAUGGGGAAACCCAGUGUGAUUCGUCACACUAUCAUUAACUGAAUCCAUAGGUUAAUGAGGCGAACCGGGGGAACUGAAACAUCUAAGUACCCCGAGGAAAAGAAAUCAACCGAGAUUCCCCCAGUAGCGGCGAGCGAACGGGGAGGAGCCCAGAGCCUGAAUCAGCAUGUGUGUUAGUGGAAGCGUCUGGAAAGGCGCGCGAUACAGGGUGACAGCCCCGUACACAAAAGCGCAUGUGCUGUGAGCUCGAUGAGUAGGGCGGGACACGUGGUAUCCUGUCUGAAUAUGGGGGGACCAUCCUCCAAGGCUAAAUACUCCUGACUGACCGAUAGUGAACCAGUACCGUGAGGGAAAGGCGAAAAGAACCCCGGCGAGGGGAGUGAAAAAGAACCUGAAACCGUGUACGUACAAGCAGUGGGAGCACCCUUCGGGGUGUGACUGCGUACCUUUUGUAUAAUGGGUCAGCGACUUAUAUUCUGUAGCAAGGUUAACCGUAUAGGGGAGCCG
rnacentral:rRNA from 1 species